UACGUAGGCAGCGAGCGUUGUUCGGAGUUACUGGGCGUAAAGGGUGCGUAGGCGGUUGUUUAAGUUUGGUGUGAAAUCUCCCGGCUCAACUGGGAGGGUGCGCCGGAAACUGGGGUGCUCGAGCGUGGGAGAGGAAAGCGGAAUUCCUGGUGUAGCGGUGAAAUGCGUAGAUAUCAGGAGGAACACCUGUGGUGUAGACAGCUUUCUGGACCAUUGCUGACGCUGAGACACGAAAGCGUGGGUAGCAAACAGG
rnacentral:rRNA from 1 species